rnacentral:rRNA from 1 species
GAUGAACGCUGGCGGCGUGCCUAAUACAUGCAAGUCGAGCGAACAGACGAGGAGCUUGCUCCUCUGACGUUAGCGGCGGACGGGUGAGUAACACGUGGAUAACCUACCUAUAAGACUGGGAUAACUUCGGGAAACCGGAGCUGAUACCGGAUAAUAUAUUGAACCGCAUGGUUCAAUAGUGAAAGACGGCUUUGCUGUCACUUAUAGAUGGAUCCGUGCCGCAUUAGCUAGUUGGUAAGGUAACGGCUUACCAAGGCAACGAUGCGUAGCCGACCUGAGAGGGUGAUCGGCCACACUGGAACUGAGACACGGUCCAGACUCCUACGGGAGGCAGCAGUAGGGAAUCUUCCGCAAUGGGCGAAAGCCUGACGGAGCAACGCCGCGUGAGUGAUGAAGGUCUUCGGAUCGUAAAACUCUGUUAUUAGGGAAGAACAAAUGUGUAAGUAACUAUGCACGUCUUGACGGUACCUAAUCAGAAAGCAACGGCUAACUACGUG